AAACAAAAACAACACCAUAUAUUUAUGAACCUCAGUGAACCAGCCUAGAAAAAUUGACUUCUGCAGGUGCUAAAGCACCUACUAAUACGCAGCAUGCACAGCAUUUCAGGUUGUGAAUACCAUUUUACAACGAGUUUGCUGUUAACUCUCUUUAUCCAAUGCAAACUUGAAAUUCUGAUGCGGUUUUCCAGGGUGGUAUUUUUUCAGAGUAUUGAAUUUACUAUUUAGUAAUUUAUAGUAUAGCUUUUUAUAUUAAAAUGUGAUAUUUUUAAAAGAGAUAUCUGGUUCAAUUGGUAUAAUGACGUGAUUAUGCAAUAUGCUGAUCUACACCUUGCGCUCACAUUGUGCCAAACUUAAAUGUGCAAGUGUACGUGAGAAAAGCACAUGUGAAUGUGAAUUCUUUAAUUCUUUGCUUAUUAUGUUAAAAUUAGUCUUCAUAGUCCACUGAUGUGUAUGCUUGAAUAAUGUCUAUUUACUUUGGAAUUUCAAGAUUUCCAGCUUCAAUGGUAAUUUAUAAUUUCUCAGAUCACCUUAAGAAAUAUUGAGAUACUCUCCCACCUGAAAAUAAUCUGUUCUUUAACCCACCUGACUAUGGGAGUAGCCAGGCAGGUGCCUCACUGGCUUCUUCAGACGAGGCUUCCUCAGGUGGAUAUAUGACUAUUAGGGGAAAAGAGGCUUUUGAGACAGCUUAUUACCUCCUUCCCCUUUUUGAACUAAGUACAUUGUCUCAGUCCCAGUAUGAAUUUGUCCCAUUUGGGGUAUUUUUAAAAUAAAAGAUGGCUAACAUGGAAUCUGGGGCAUAGCCUUGGCCUUUAAUUAUGGUUGUAAGCCCAAAUAAUGGCAGAGAAACACAGGGCUGUUUUUACAACAGAAAACUCAAUAUAAGUUUUAUAUAAGAAUCCUAUAAAAUUUGAACCAGAGCUCCUAUUUAGUUGUUAUAAUGUCUCCUAAAGAUCUUAAAUGCUUCUAAAAGCUAAUUAUUAUUCCAGAGCAACUUUUUCCUUUUCCCCCUUAUAAAGUUUUUUUUUAAAUCCAAAAUCUUAGAUUUCUGUGCCACAGCAAAAUAAAAUGAUCAACAAUUAAAGAUCUGUACUUAAAAUAGUACACCAUUUUUAGUGGAGGGAGGGUGCAUGCCUAUAUGAUGGUAAGAUUCUUUUGAACUCUAAGGACAAUUCCUCAUGGAAAAAAUAAAUUUCAGUGCAUAUUAUAAAAAUGAUUUGCACUGUGUUAGCAAAAUAAGGUGUUUUAGGUUGUAUUUUAAAGACAAUUCUAAAUCAUUUCUCUGGAAAGCAAGACCUUAAAUUCUUCUCUUUAAUAGAACUGCUUUUAUGCAAAGAGAUGGUCUUAACAUGGACUAAACAGUACAUAACAAUAAUGUUUGUUAUGUAAAUAGUAUAUCACAUUUGCUUAGUAGCACAAUUCAACAGCAGGCUGAAAGUCGUGGCUCCUCUGCUCAGAUUGAGUUUUAAGUUACCUAAUUUAUGUAAUCAGAAUCUAUUCUAGGUGGCCGUCAACGUAAACUGUGUUUCCCUAUUAUAUCCCUCUGGAGACUGAGAAUCAAAUUAAAUAGUCUUUCUUCAAAGCAGUACUGUAACAUGAAUGUAUUUAUCUCAGUCAACAGAACUUAUAUGCCCACUGUAUGUGGAGCUUAUUUCAAUGCUAAUUUGGCUUAGUUAGCAGACCUAGAAUCUGCCCAGGUGAGACCUAGAACAAAAAUAGCUGGGGUGAAAUGGAUAAGAGAGGUAGAGGUAUAUGUCAAGGCAGAGCCCUAUGAGGAAGGAAGAGUUUUCAAAGAAUAUGAGGAACAUAGUGCUGAGAGUGUGGCUGCCUUCAGCACCGUACACCUAAUCUAGAGAAAAUAUUUCCCAUGUGGGAGGUCCUGUCUGCAUUCAGUCCACCCUUUUCUGCCUGCUUCUUCCUCCAAGUGCCUCAACCUCUACAUGCUCACUCUCCUCCCCUUCCCUCAGCCCAUCUUGGUCUAAGCAGCUUUCACAAUCCAAACCAAACAUCACCAGCCACCCGCUGAUAAGUCACCAGCAUUUACUUUCCUGAGUUACUUUUUCUCCAUUCAUUGAGACUAUGGAUUCAUCCCAACUCCUUCUAAAUCCCUCAACCAUCCAGCUAUAUUUUGGCUAACCUUUGCCCUAGACACUCUACCAGAUGUUAAUGCAGUAUCAAGUGUAAAUUGUGUCACCCUAUUCUGUUCUACCCUUUUCCCUGCUGCCGAAAUAUCUUGCUCUCCUCUACCUCAUCCCCAAAGAGCCUAUAAAUUCAGAGUAUCCAACCUUUUCAUGGAUUCACUCACUGUUGUUCAGUAAUACAACUUCCAUAUUUUAAAUAAAUCAUAAAAGAUUUUUGCCUUCUAUCAAAGUAGGAAACUUUAUAUUUAUACAUGAUACAGAAAUUGAACUAUUUCUAUCGUUCAGAAUUUAGCAUAUAACAGGAUUUUAAAGUGAUUGAAUUGCCAUCCUAACUUGGAUUUGUAUUAGGUUAUGAAUGAAUACUGUUGUUAGUCCAAGCUAUUUGAAUGUAAAGUUAAAAUUCUCCAGCAAUCCAGAAUGACUUGUAACCCUUCAGUGGAAUGGGAAAUUUCUGGUAUGCAAAUAGGGUGGUGUUCCAGACAUUUGUUUUAUUGGUGGUGUUUGGGCCUUGAAACACAUUUCUAAUAGAAUGACAUAUGGCAAAGGGUAUUUAGAUGGUCCUAUGGGAUCACAGAAGCCCAUAUGAUUUAAAAUAUAGAUAAAAUAACACAAAAUUGGGUACAUAAGGGUUUAACCAGGCUUUCCUGGGUUAGACUAAGCCUCUAACCUCUGUUCCUAUCCUGUUCUUAUGGGAGGAAAAAAAAUGUUCCAUGGGAUGAAAAGAAAAUGCAUUGACUUUGUAGUCUUUAUUCUCCUAGCCGCACUUCGGGUAUAUCCAGAAGGAAGAGGAAAUGCAAAGAGGAAGAAGAUGUAAUAGUUCUUCUCUCCAGCUAGGUGCACUUGAGGUUGUUCAUAAAUGUAAAAUUAUGUCAGGUUUCUAACAUGGGACACUGCACACAGUUGUCUGACCUGAUGAACCAUCCCAUUUGAAAGUAUAGAUUAUUAUUAUUUCUUGUAGUAUUUGGUUGUUUUCCAUCUCAUUCAUGAACAACUCAACCUGAUAGUAGUAUCCAAUAAAUGCCUUUCAGGGCUCAGGAAUGAAUUGACAUCCUAGUUAAGAAAUGAGACUUAAUAAUGGAGACUGAAUGAGGCGGUUUGUAUUAAAUUAUAUGCCAUGAAGUGUUCAUUUUAGCUUUAACCUAAUUAUGACUGUACCACCAUGAAGUACAGAAUGAAAAAUUAUAUAUAUGGGGGGGAAACAGAAUGAAUAUCUGAUUCUUUUGAAUGCUUGUGGAAAUCUUUGAGAUCGUGCAGGGCAUACCACAAAAUAGCCUUUAGAACAGAUACCCAAUUUUACAGUUCAUAGGACAACAUCAAACAUUAGUAAGUCUAAAUAAGAUGAAUAGAAUUUUUGUUAUGUAAAUUUUGCUAGAACAGUCUAUUUUCUUGCACCCCUCAAGUUAACCUCUUAAAAAAAUGAAUGUAUAAUUUCUACCGAAAGAAUAUCAGAGAGAAUCUCUCUGGCCUAUAGUGUUAAAAUAUUGUUCACAAAUCCUGAUUAGUUAAGUGCAUACAUUAUGAAACUUACAGAAUAAAACUUAUUAUACAUCUCUUUCUUAAAUUAAUAUCUUUACACAUUUUCAACUGGCUCCCCAAGUCUGAUAAGGAAGGAUUAAAAGAAAAAAGAAAUGUAUUAGUUGGGUGGCCAAGGAGUUUCCUUUGUAAUGUUGAGAGACUUCCGCUUUCUGAAUUUCGCUGGUUCUCUAAGGUAAAAGAGUUAAAUAGUACCCUUGUUCACCAAGGAAAGUGAUCCAAACUAUAUAUCUAGUGCAGAUAUUUCCUUUGCAUUAUUUAGUCUUCUCUGGAGAGAAAAUACAGUUUCCCCUUCCUCUUUCUCUUCACAUUUACUCUUUUCAACCCAAAAUAAGAGACAUAGAAAGCAAACCACAGCCAGUUUGGCAUCUUCUCAGUGCUACUAGUAUAGGCACAUACACAUACACAGUCUCAGCAAGGUUAUAAAGAACCCUGUCAGGUCCACUUGCAACAUGGCCUUGCUACUUGGAUUAGCUCCUUUAAGCCUGAAAAUAACUUUCCUGGUCAUGGAAGAACUGGACGCAUCUUUUAACUUAUGAAAUAGAAGUUGAACUUGAAAACUCUUUUUAAAAAAUCCUGGUUUUGCAGGACAGCUACAUAAUGAAUGUAUAUAUUAAGACUGUAGCUGAAUUGCACAUGAAAUCAGAUUGCCAACUUCUUGACUUUCAAUGUUAGACAUUUAUCCUUAAGUUGUGAGCGAUAUAUGUAGCAUGCUGUGAAAUGUCUGUUAUAGCUCUUUAAUUCAUCAGUAUUAAUACAGAAUUAUCAUUUGCGUUUCUUGGUACUUUUUAUUCAAUGUAAUCAGAAGCUGUGAUGUUUUGCCUUUGUAGUCCUGUGCUUUGUUACUGUAAUUUUUUUUUUUUUUUUACGAAGCACGUGACUGGACUAAUGUAAGGCAGAUGACGUGAUCUUUAAGACUGCUAUAUAUAUCAGUCUCUUACUCUAUAAGGUUUUAAAUUAGAAUAAGCUUUUAUCAAAUAGAUAAUUGAUGCAAUUUAGGAUUCACGCAAGUUUCAGUGUCAAAUGGCGGUCUUAUAGUUUCAAUUCUGAAAAUAGCAAACUUAAUAAACAGCCACUUUAAACUUGUUCUGGCAAACCAGACCCUGCUGUAGAUAUAGUCUAAGGUAGUUAACCAUAUAAGCCUUUUCAACUCUUAAUGCCCUCCACAUGAAUCAGCAGUUAAGAAGGUUCUAGAACCCAUGAAAGCUUUUGUAUGUAUUACUAGGUUUUGUUUUUCUUAUGUUUGCUGAUUUUACAGUUCUGACUAAAGCUGACCUAAAUGGAUCAGUUUAUGUGUAAUAUUCUAGUGCUUUAAUGACUCUUUUUUUCUUUGGAGGGAGGGUAACAUUAUUUGGACAGAUGCAGAAGGAACUGUUAGUGAGUCAAGACAAACACAUCUGAAAUAAAGGAACUGUGUAUUAACAUGUUAACAAUUCAUAACUGCACUUUUUAUGACAUUUUGAAAAUCUAUUUAUAGGUACAGAACAAUGGGUUUUGUUAAACUGUAUCACAUUUAUACUUGCAGAAAUUUAUUUCAUUGUUAUUAGUAGGAAUUUUAUUGGUUCAAUAAAAUUGGCAAAACUGAACACC
rnacentral:lncRNA from 1 species